AUCAAUUGCUCAUAUGGCUCAAUCUGGUGAAAAUGCUAUUCUUCCAUUACCUAAUGGAAAGGAUCAGGUGUCAGAUUUUAUCCUAUUAACUGGAGCUUAUUACAAGGAAUAUUUUCAAUAUCAAAUAGCUAAACAGCAAUCUUUUAGCGGUCUUCACUCAUUGGUCCAUGGAUCCUGGACUCUGGUGCUUCUGAUCAUAUA
rnacentral:misc_RNA from 1 species